UUCCUCGCAUGCCUCUCCGGGCGGCCCAUCCACUAUAGCUGCUCAUAUCCAAUGAGCAUUUUUCACCGGGCGCCACCGGAAACCUUCCCGCGGCUCAUUGUGGAGAGCACAAGCAGAGCUGGGCGUCAUGAAUUAAAGAAAAGCCUGCAUUUACAAAUCUGAUCACCAAACCCCGCUMCAAGUGUGGUGUGGUUGGACCAGCGGCAGCAGAGCUGUUGCAGCGGAGAUGGUUUUGGACCCGGGUGAGGACUGUAUGGGAUCGGACAGACGUCGACGGGGUCGGAGGGAGCAGGCAGCACCACAGACCUGACGGGUCCAGAAACCAAGACCGGACCCUCGCAAAACCAUCACAACCGACAGCACCGGACUAAGAAAACACCAGCCCAGAGCCUCCGCAAAACCAC